rnacentral:tRNA from 1 species
AGAGCAAUGGUGUAAGGGUAGCACACAAGGUUUUGAUCCUUGCGGUAGUAGUUCAAAUCUGCUUUGUUCUGCCA